ACAUGUAUAACGAGUAAAAUAUAUUAGUGUUGAGGACAAAAUCCUUAUUUGAUGUUUUAAAGAUAACAAACAUGUUAAUUAAUUUUAAUUAUGAUUAUCUUGUUAUCUACUAAUGUGUUUUGUGAGAAAUAUUUCAACGAUAAUGAUAUCAUUUGUCAACGAUAACGUUAUGGAUGAGGAACUAAUGGACAAGCAAAACAUAUAAGCAAUGAGUAGAAACAAAAGAAGCAACUUAAAGUCUUGGCCAAAAUGAUAUAAAAGCUUCACAUGAAGAUAUUCUUUUUUGUCUCACCAAGAGUGGUAGCUUUUUACGGAAACACUUAUGUAAGGAAUAUGCCAAACAUGACAUAAAUUGAAUCAUGGGCCAUAAAGUCUUUUUGGACAAAAGUAAUUAAAAGCCCAUUUGGACAAACAAAGGAAGCUUCCAUCAUUGAGUGAAGAAGAUUUGAAAUUCAAAUAAAAGCCACAUCACACAAUGAUGGCUUGGACGAAAAUUGGCCAACAAGGUGAAGUCGCACCAUAAGGCAAAAUGUAGCAAGUCUCAUUCUCAUCAAGGGAACAUAGAGGGGACAAGAAUCAACAACAUCUAUCCCUUUGUGGAUAAAGGACAUGAGUCACCAAAACAAGUACAUUUAAUCACAUGAUAUUUUCCCACUUGCAUACAAGUUGUUCAACCCUAAAUUAGGAAAGAUUCCUUCUUAUGGACAUAUAUGGGCCACGUAAAUGCAAUGGAUGCCAUAAAUUAAAAGUGUAGUGCAAAUU
rnacentral:lncRNA from 1 species